CGGGCUUAACACAUGCAAGUCGAGGGGCAUCAGGAACAUAUCUUGCUUUCUUUGCUGGCGACCGGCGCACGGGUGAGUAACACGUAUCCAACCUGCCCUUUACUCGGGGAUAGCCUUUCGAAAGAAAGAUUAAUACCCGAUGGCAUAAUGAUUCCGCAUGGUUUCAUUAUUAAAGGAUUCCGGUAAAGGAUGGGGAUGCGUUCCAUUAGGUUGUUGGUGAGGUAACGGCUCACCAAGCCUUCGAUGGAUAGGGGUUCUGAGAGGAAGGUCCCCCACAUUGGAACUGAGACACGGUCCAAACUCCUACGGGAGGCAGCAGUGAGGAAUAUUGGUCAAUGGGCGCUAGCCUGAACCAGCCAAGUAGCGUGAAGGAUGAAGGCUCUAUGGGUCGUAAACUUCUUUUAUAUAAGAAUAAAGUGCAGUAUGUAUACUGUUUUGUAUGUAUUAUAUGAAUAAGGAUCGGCUAACUCCGUGCCAGCAGCCGCGGUAAUACGGAGGAUCCGAGCGUUAUCCGGAUUUAUUGGGUUUAAAGGGAGCGUAGGUGGACUGGUAAGUCAGUUGUGAAAGUUUGCGGCUCAACCGUAAAAUUGCAGUUGAUACUGUCAGUCUUGAGUACAGUAGAGGUGGGCGGAAUUCGUGGUGUAGCGGUGAAAUGCUUAGAUAUCACGAAGAACUCCGAUUGCGAAGGCAGCUCACUGGACUGCAACUGACACUGAUGCUCGAAAGUGUGGGUAUCAAACAGGAUUAGAUACCCUGGUAGUCCACACAGUAAACGAUGAAUACUCGCUGUUUGCGAUAUACAGUAAGCGGCCAAGCGAAAGCAUUAAGUAUUCCACCUGGGGAGUACGCCGGCAACGGUGAAACUCAAAGGAAUUGACGGGGGCCCGCACAAGCGGAGGAACAUGUGGUUUAAUUCGAUGAUACGCGAGGAACCUUACCCGGGCUUAAAUUGCAGUGGAAUGAUGUGGAAACAUGUCAGUGAGCAAUCACCGCUGUGAAGGUGCUGCAUGGUUGUCGUCAGCUUGUGCCGUGAGGUGUCGGCUUAAGUGCCAUAACGAGCGCAACCCUUAUCUUUAGUUACUAACAGGUUAUGCUGAGGACUCUAGAGAGACUGCCGUCGUAAGAUGUGAGGAAGGUGGGGAUGACGUCAAAUCAGCACGGCCCUUACGUCCGGGGCUACACACGUGUUACAAUGGGGGGUACAGAAGGCAGCUAGCGGGUGACCGUAUGCUAAUCCCAAAAGCCUCUCUCAGUUCGGAUCGAAGUCUGCAACCCGACUUCGUGAAGCUGGAUUCGCUAGUAAUCGCGCAUCAGCCACGGCGCGGUGAAUACGUUCCCGGGCCUUGUACACACCGCCCGUCAAGCCAUGGGAGCCGGGGGUACCUGAAGUACGUAACCGCAAGGAUCGUCCUAGGGUAAAACUGGUGACUG
rnacentral:rRNA from 1 species